rnacentral:rRNA from 1 species
UACGUAGGGUGCAAGCGUUAAUCGGAAUUACUGGGCGUAAAGCGUGCGCAGGCGGUUCGCUAAGACAGAUGUGAAAUCCCCGGGCUUAACCUGGGAACUGCAUUUGUGACUGGCGGGCUAGAGUAUGGAAGAGGGGGGUAGAAUUCCACGUGUAGCAGUGAAAUGCGUAGAGAUGCGGAGGAACACCGAUGGCGAAGGCAGCCCCCUGGGCCAACACUGACACUCAGGCACGAAAGCGUGGGGAGCAAACAGG